UGGUCUUGUAGGAGCCAGACCCUUCCACAGCAGUUUUUUGUUCUAAAACCGCCGUCCUGAUGGUGUUUAUAAAGGAAACACCUGUGGGCAUCCCCUCCAACAAAUGCCAGGUUUGGACGUGGUGUGAAGGAGCUGUGGCCCCACCUGCCCGGGAAGCACGAGGCAGGACAGAGGUGGGGUCACAGCCUGUCUUCUCCUUGACGUCUUCCACCCAGAGGUAAUAACAGUCAUUCACAUUCUUCCACCUUUCUUUCAGCAUGGGUUUCUGCAGCAGAUCCAUUUCAGUACCUGUUCUGGCCAGGCCCUAGCUCAGCCCCAGCCCAGCUUUUACACAAGCUCACAGCUCCAGCGAGGGCUCGCAGAGCAAAGGGGCAUCAAUUAAGGACACAGAACAAGUUUCCUCUUGCAAAUUCGGUGUUUAUCGCAACUCGGCUGUACAGCGAAAGAGCUAGAAGGGAGCAGAGCAGCAGCACGCAGCAGGAAAACUGGGCAGGAGGGCUCACCCCAGACUUCCUGCACGUCCCUUGCACAAAACAAUUUGAGAACCUGCUUUGUUUUGAACGCCUCGGUCUCACACACCCACCCACUGCAGCAGUUGCAGCUGAGAUCCUGAGAUUAACGCAUCCUCAGGUCCACAUGAGCUGAGGGCAAGCGUAGCUGUUGCUCAGCAGAAUGACUUGAGCUGCAAAAUUCACCUCUAAAAGAUCAAACCAAGCCAGAGCUUUGCUACCUUCAGGUCAUUAUGCUAGGACUGCUCUUUCAUCAAGUUUGCAACCUCAGGGAAUGAGUUGCAGAGCAAUCCUGAACGCACACAACAAAAAAAUAAAUCACCUGAGCUGGAUUCCCCAGGAGCAAGCAGCUUCAGCAAGCGAACCAAGUGUGGUUUUUCUUCUUUCAAGAAAUCAAUAAACUCUUAACCUGUGAAACCUACCCAGCUGCUACAGGAUGGAUGCUUUACACAUUCAAAACAAUGAUGGGAGCACCUCAAAGCUCAUUCCGUGGGCAGGUGCUGCUGAGUGUGUGUUCUCACCCCUGCCUUUCCCAGGACAGGAAGCAUUUCUGAAUCCUUAAUAAACUAGGAGAAGCUUCCCUACAAAUCUGCCUCUUUCAAAAUCUCUCCAUUUUAAACACGCUGCUAAAAUAAACUAUUUUUUACCUUGUGAAUAAUUUCCUAUGCUCUCCGUGUUUUCUCUCUCCCCAUUGCUGAGCAGCCAGCUGCAAACAGGGCAAGCAUCUUCAAAACCAGGAAGGGUGCAGCACAUCAACCCUGCUCUGCCAUCAGCCACACGUUUAUCAGGCUAGGAAAACCUCCACUGCAAAUUCAGAGCUGUGCCUCUAACAUGAUCCCUCAGGAUCCCUCAGGAUCGUGUUAGAGGCACAGUGCUCUUGCACAUUUUCCCUGUUAGCCCUGCUGCUCUCCAGAGGGGGCCCGAGGCACAGCCUCAGUGCAUCACUAUCUCUCUCUAUAGACAUACAUAUUUAUUUUUAAACAUUCAUGGGGAAAAAAAGCUGAAGAAAUAAGCUCAUCGUAACC